AUUGAACGCUGGCGGCAUGCCUUACACAUGCAAGUCGAACGGCAGCACGGACUUCGGUCUGGUGGCGAGUGGCGAACGGGUGAGUAAAGUAUCGGAACGCACCUUUCAGUGGGGGAUAACGUAGCGAAAGUUACGCUAAUACCGCAUAUUCUGUGAGCAGGAAAGCAGGGGAUCGCAAGACCUUGCGCUGAUUGAGCGGCCGAUAUCAGAUUAGCUAGUUGGUGAGGUAAAGGCUCACCAAGGCGACGAUCUGUAGCGGGUCUGAGAGGAUGCUCCGCCACACGGGAACGAGGACACGGUCCAGACUCCUACGGGAGGCAGCAGUGGGGAAUGUUGGACACUGGGGGCAACCCUGAUCCAGCCAUGCCGCGUGAGAGAAGAAGGCCUUCGGGUUGUAAAGCUCUUUCGGCCGGGAAGAAACCGUAUCAGCUAAUACCUGGUGCGGAUGACGGUACCGGCAUAAGAAGCACCGGCUAACUACGUGCCAGCCGCCGCUGUAACAC
rnacentral:rRNA from 1 species